rnacentral:rRNA from 27 species
UUACCACUUUGUGAUUCAUGACUGGGGUGAAGUCGUAACAAGGUAACCGUAGGGGAACCUGCGGUUGGAUCACCUCCUUACCUUAAAGAA